rnacentral:rRNA from 1 species
UACAGAGGUCUCAAGCGUUGUUCGGAUUCAUUGGGCGUAAAGCGCGUGUAGGCGGCUCGGUAAGUCUGCUCUGAAAGUCCAAGGCUCAACCUUGGGAUGCGGGUGGAUACUGCCGGGCUCGAGUCCGGAAGAGGCGAGUGGAAUUCCUGGUGUAGCGGUGAAAUGCGCAGAUAUCAGGAGGAACACCAAUGGCGAAGGCAGCUCGCUGGGACGUGACUGACGCUGAGACGCGAAAGCGUGGGGAGCAAACAGG